UUAGUUGGUGGAGUGAUUUGUCUGGUUAAUUCCGAUAACGAGCGAGACCUCAGCCUACUAACUAGUUGCGGGAAUCUUCGGAUUCUAUUAUUUCGUGACUUCUUAGAGGGACUAUCAGUGAUUAGCUGGUGGAAGUUUGAGGCCAUAACAGGU
rnacentral:rRNA from 1 species